rnacentral:rRNA from 1 species
CACGUAGGGGCCAAGCGUUGUCCGGAUUUAUUGGGCGUAAGGAGCUCGUAGGCGGUUCGACAAGUCGGGUGUGAAAACUCCGGGCUCAACCCGGAGACGCCACCCGAUACUGUCGUGACUGGAGUCCGGUAGGGGAGUGGGGAAUUCCUGGUGUAGCGGUGAAAUGCGCAGAUAUCAGGAGGACCACCGGUGGCGAAGGCGCCACUCUGGGCCGGUACUGACGCUGAGGAGCGAAAGCGUGGGUAGCAAACAGG